rnacentral:rRNA from 1 species
CCUACGGGGGGCAGCAGUGGGGAAUAUUGCACAAUGGGGGAAACCCUGAUGCAGCGACGCCGCGUGAGUGAAGAAGUAUUUCGGUAUGUAAAGCUCUGUCAGCAGGGAAGAAAAUGACGGUACCUGACCAAGAAGCCCCGGCUAACUACGUGCCAGCAGCCGCGGUAAUACGUAGGGGGCAAGCGUUAUCCGGAUUUACUGGGUGUAAAGGGAGCGUAGACGGCAGGGCAAGUCUGGAGUGAAAGGCGGGGGCCCAACCCCCGGACUGCUCUGGAAACUGCCAUGCUGGAGUGCAGGAGGGGUAAGUGGAAUUCCUAGUGUAGCGGUGAAAUGCGUAGAUAUUAGGAGGAACACCAGCGGCGAAGGCGGCUUACUGGACUGUAACUGACGUUGAGGCUCGAAAGCGUGGGGAGCAAACAGGAUUAGAUACCCCAGUAGUC